UUUCCCCCGCAUGCAACACCAGCUGCUCAGGCCGCACGACGCCGCGUCCCUCCCGCGCCACCUCCUCGAAGCCCGCGUCGUCUCGCUGGUCCGCCGAUGCCCCGGCCUCCGCGCGCUCCGCGGCGCCCACGCACACUUCCUCAGGCUCCGCCUCCCGCGCCUCACCUACGCCUUCGCGCUCUCCAAGCUCCUCGCCUCCUGCGCCGCUGCCUCUGCCACCACCGUGGCCUCCUCUUAUGCACGUGCCCUGUUCGACCAAAUCCCUGAACCGACCGCCUUCUGCUACAACUCUCUCAUCCGCGCGGUAUCCGGCUCCGGCAGCAGCAGCAACUCGGGAACCACGGACACCUUCCUGCUCUACCGCCGCAUGCUUCACGCAGGCUCCCCGGCCCCCAAUAGCUUCACCCUCGCUUUUGUGCUCAAGGCUUGCACGGCUCUUGGCGAGGGCCAACAGCUGCAUGCGCAGGCUUUCGGCCAUGGGCUGGAACCGAGCCCAUACGUGCAGACCGGGUUGCUUAACCUCUAUGCCAGGUGCGAGGAGGUUGCGCUCGCCAGGAACGUGUUUGAUGGCAUGGUUGAGGACAAGAAUUUGGUUGCGUGGAGCUCCAUGAUCGGCGGGUACUCAAGAAUGGGGAUGGUUAACGAAGCUUUGGGCCUGUUCCGUGAUAUGCAGGCGGUGGGGGUGAACCCAGACGAGGUCACAAUGGUUAGUGUCAUCUCGGCGUGCGCAAAGGCAGGUGCUCUUGAUUUAGGGAAGUGGGUGCAUGCUUUUAUCGACAGGAAGGGGAUCACGGUCGAUCUUGAGCUGAGCACUGCGUUAAUUGAUAUGUAUGCAAAGUGUGGUCUGAUAGAGAGGGCAAAGUCGGUUUUUGAUUCAAUGGUGGAGAGGGAUACCAAGGCAUGGAGCGCAAUGAUAGUUGGGCUGGCGAUGCACGGGCUUGCAGAGGAUGCAUUGGGGCUUUUCUCUAGAAUGCUACAGCUUAAGGUGAGACCCAACAACGUCACCUUUGUAGGUGUGUUGUCAGCAUGUGCUCACAGUGGAUUAGUGGACGACGGACGACGGUAUUGGUGUACCAUGCAAGAAUUAGGAAUUGAAGCCUCAAUGGAGAACUAUGGUUGCAUGGUUGACCUUCUCUGCCGGUCCGGCCUUUUGGAUGAAGCUUUCUCAUUUGUCACAGGCAUGCCCAUCUCACCAAAUUCAGUAAUUUGGAGGAAUCUUCUUGUUGCGAGUAAAAGCUCGAACAGAAUUGAUAUAGUAGAAUUGGCUUCUAGGAGGCUCUUUGAGUUGGAACCUCAAAAUCCAGAGAACUAUGUUCUCCUUUCCAAUUUGUAUGCGUUGAACUCCCAGUGGGACAGAGUAAGGUACAUGAGGAAAAAGAUGAAGGACAACAACGUUACUGUUGUUGCUGGCUGUAGUUCGAUUGAAAUAAAUGGCUAUCUGCACAAGUUUGUGGUCAGUGAUGGUUCACACCCUGAAAUCAAGAAGAUAAGACUGGUACUGAGGGAAAUAGCUGACCGGGUGCUAUGUGCUGGCCACAAGCCUUGGACUGCAGCCGUGCUACAUGAUGUCGUUGAAGAGGAAAAAGAAGUUGCACUUUGUGAGCAUAGCGAAAGGCUAGCCAUUGCAUAUGGAUUGUUGAAGACAAAAGCACCUCAUGUCAUUCGGGUGGUAAAGAACUUGAGAUUCUGUCCGGAUUGCCAUGAAGUGACAAAAAUAAUAAGCAAAUCAUAUGGCCGAGAAAUCAUUGUCAGGGACCGUGUUCGUUUCCAUAGAUUUAUUGGAGGAAGUUGUUCUUGCAACGACUUUUGGUGAUUGCUUAACCAAUUGAAUAACUUGUAUUUGGAAGCCUGGCAGAUGUGAUGGCUUAAGAAGAAGGUUGUUUCAGAAGUGAUGAAAUGGAAACAGUGAAUCUAACAUUGUACAACAAUGGCUGUUUAGCAUAUUUUCACACCCAGAUGAAUGGACUCAGUGUGGAGAGUGGGGUUGCCUAGUCUGAUGCUGCACAAAGGAAUUACACUAUUUUUUACAUCACCGAGUACUCAGUAGUCAGUACUACACCCUCUCCUCCACAUGGUGCUCUUAGCUGGAAAAGAGGUCCAAGAAUUUCAGACCCCCAAAGGUUAAUGUGGAACAGCAGGCUUAUUCCGGUUAUCCAAGGUCGGGAUAGAAGAGCAUGUCAUGUUUGUGAGGCUAAAGAUCAUGCCGAUAGUUGGCUUGAAAUGCACGUAAAAAGUUGGUUGAUGAGCUUUCACCGCACGCCUGAACUUCUGAGCUGAUAUAGAUUGUCAAGAGAAGGCGGCUCCGUCAGUGGUCACAGAUGAGCAAAGGAGAAACAAAGUUCAAAUGUAUUCCGAGGGCGAAUUUUAGCAUAUACUGAAACGUAUGUAUCGAUGUGAAUUGGGAAAUGGUUACAUCAUCGUGCAUACUUGCUACGGGAUAUCACCCUCCAACUUCUCCGUGUAUGUGCCGGAGCUUCAGU